rnacentral:rRNA from 1 species
UAGGUUACCUGCCCUUCUCAUCGGAAUAAGCGUUGGAAACGACGUCUAAUGCCGAAUACGACUUCGGAAGGCAUCUUCUGAAGUGGAAAGCUCCGGCGGAGAAGGAUGGGCUCGCGGCCUAUCAGCUUGUUGGUGGGGUAAUGGCCCACCAAGGCGACGACGGGUAGCCGGCCUGAGAGGGUGACCGGCCACACUGGGACUGAGACACGGCCCAGACUCCGUACGGGAGGCAG